UACAGAGGGUGCAAGCGUUGUUCGGAAUUACUGGGCGUAAAGCGCGUGUAGGCGGUCUGAUAAGUCGGUCGUGAAAGCCCUUGGCUUAACCAAGGAACUGCGAUCGAAACUGCCGGACUAGAGUAUCGGAGGGGGUGGCGGAAUUCCCGGUGUAGUGGUGAAAUGCGUAGAUAUCGGGAGGAACACCAGUGGCGAAGGCGACUUCCUGGCCUGUUCUUGACGCUGAGGCGCGAAAGCUAGGGGAGCAAACGGG
rnacentral:rRNA from 1 species